GGCGGGGGCAAGCGUUCGGCGUGGGGCCGGUUUCCAACCGGCCUGCCUGGGCAAGGCCGGUUGGAAACCAGCCCCACGUCA
rnacentral:tRNA from 1 species